AUCCAGCUGACGAGUCCUGAAUAGGAUCAAACGCGCGUCCUGGAU
rfam:Schistosoma rodhaini strain Burundi genome assembly, scaffold: SROB_scaffold0003554